AACAAAAUGAAGCCCAAUUUCUUAUUCCAAUGGAUUUUGGACCCAAUCUCGUUUACUGCGAAAGAAACGGAUGCACUGGUUCAAACGACGCUUUUGAAGAAUAUUACACACGCUUACAUUUCCUACAGCUUUUGCGUCAGCAGGCAAACCGGUCCUUAUCAGUGGCGACUUGAACAACUGUGCUCAAUACCAUUGCACCAGGUUUGAAACCUCCGCUGAUAUGGCUUUGUGUUAGCUGGUUUUGGUUUUUAUAUAAAGCUUUUCUUGAAUUUUUGGUCGCUAGCAUUGGUGCCCAUGAACUGUUUGUUAUAAUGUCAAAAAGAGUUACUUUUGUGAUUUUUGGUCUAUGAUGUCAUAUGGAUUAAUUAAGCC